UACGUAGGGCGCAAGCGUUGUCCGGAAUUAUUGGGCGUAAAGAGCUCGUAGGCGGUGUGUCACGUCGGCCGUGAAAACCUGGGGCUUAACUCUGGGCGUGCGGUCGAUACGGGCAUCACUAGAGUUCGGCAGGGGAGACUGGAAUUCCUGGUGUAGCGGUGAAAUGCGCAGAUAUCAGGAGGAACACCGGUGGCGAAGGCGGGUCUCUGGGCCGAUACUGACGCUGAGGAGCGAAAGCGUGGGGAGCGAACAGG
rnacentral:rRNA from 1 species